rnacentral:rRNA from 1 species
GGAAUCUUCGGCAAUGGACGAAAGUCUGACCGAGCAACGCCGCGUGAGUGAAGAAGGUUUUCGAAUCGUAAAACUCUGUUGGUAGAGAAGAACGUUGGUGAGAGUGGAAAGCUCAUCAAGUGACGGUAACUACCCAGAAAGGGACGGCUAACUACGUGCCAC